ACGUCUUGCCUGUGGUCUGGUACGAAUUCUAUGGUAGGAUUUACCAUGAAAUGUUAUAAGGUUGAUGGGGUAUCUAAAAUGGUAACUACAUAAUACAGUGGUGUUCUACCCUGGUAUAUGGGUAUCACUAUAAAAUAUGGGGUUAUGGCUAUGGAAACUUGGUCUUCAGUCAGGAUCUAUCAUAAAUGGAAAAUAAUGCCAAACUGCCAAACUAGAUGAUUUAAUAUAAAACUUCUAAAUAAACUAUUACUGGCACGAAGUAUUAUAUACCUUUCUGGUGGCUGGAGAUACAUCCAUAUUCAUAUAUGGUAUAGAAUGAAACUAAGGUGUGGUCUGGUGGCUAUCUACCAAGGUACUGACAAUUUUGGCAGAUUCGGGCUGCUAUUUAUAGUCUGGGACGCUGGGUGGCUAGCUUGGCUAGGGUGCCUAGCUUGGCAGUAUCGUCAUCGUCUUCGAUGACGUCACUGCCAAUCUCGCGCGGGCAGAAAUUUAGCCAGUACCAGCUGCCAUGUUUAAAUUGGCAGCGUGUGGCUAAUUGAACAUUAAAACGGCUACAACGUAGAAAAUAAGUUAUUUUAAGUAAUAUAACCAUCGUAAAUAUUAAAAGGAUGAAGUUAUCUGUACAUGUAGUGUAUGUUUUGAUGAUUAAAAGUUGAUGUCAUGAAGUACAGUUAAUUACUUUAGUACUUGAGUAGUUUCCGGAUACGGGUUUAUUUUCGGACGUAAAAUGAUGGGCCUGAUCGUUACAUUGCACCCCGCUCACAUGGAUUCAGCCCCUGAAUAGUAGGAAGGUAAGUAUAUUUACAGUCGGAAGGUUUAUCAUUUUACCUAAAUAAUGUCAUUGGUAACACGACAUAAUGAAAUAAUUAUAUUAUCGGGUAAUUAUCAUUUGAUAAUUGGUUAUUACACUAAUUAGACAGAGGAGUUAAUUAGUUUAACUGUAUAAUUUGUCAAACUUGGUAUGUAACAGUUUAAGUCAUAGACACAUCAUAUUAAUGCAUAUAUAAAUUAUUAUACAUGCAUAGUAAUAAUUAAAAUUUGCUAAAUAUUUGCAAAUUUUCCAUGUAGGAACAUACAUGUACGUAUUGUCGGAAUUGACAAUAUAAUUUAUGGAUGUUGUAAAAUUACAACUUCAAUUAUAUGGCAUAAACAAAUUAAUCAUAUAAAGGGUCAUGUAUACAGGUAACAUUCACUCGGCACAGUCAAACAUUAAAAUAUCGCAUUCAAAUAUAGAGCGCUCUAUUAAUACAUUCAUAAAUAAAUACAUGUAUUUAAUAUUUACAGUGAAUAGAGAGCUUGGGUGUAUUGGUUAGUUGGUCACCUGGAGAAGCGGUUAUUACCAACUGCUCAUCUAAACAGAAGUAUACUUCAUUACAUCCUCAGCCUAAAAUACACUCCUUACAGUGGGACACUGUACAAUCAUGGCUGGUUUGUCAUAUUACGGGAAAAAGGACCACUCUGAUGUGCAAGCAGAGGAACGAUGGUGUCCACCUGAAGUCAAUAUUUUUGAACAACAGGGAGCGGGUUAAAGUGUCCACCAGAUGAACAGGCAGUUGAGUAAACAGCUGUUCAAAUGGGAGCAGGAAGGGGGUCCACCUGAAACUCAUCAAUGUAAAGGGUUGAUUUGUAACAAGGAGCGGUGUAUUUGGAAUUCCAUGUCUUCAUUUUUGUUAAAUAUUCAUCAGCUGGAUUGGUAAGAAUAGGUUGGCCAGACAAGAAUGCAGUCAGCAAUGGGCAUUCAAAUAAGGCUAUAAUCAUGCAUCCAACCAACAAGUAAACUUGUUUGAUUGAAUGGUCAGCACCUUGGAAGAUCAAAAAUCUGGAUCAGCAAAUGAAAUGAACUAUGAUACAUAAAUAAUAAAAUGUUCUGUCUCUUGGU